AGAGUUUGAUCCUGGCUCAGGACGAACGCUGGCGGCGUGCCUAAUACAUGCAAGUCGAGCGAGCGGAACUAACAGAUUUACUUCUGUAAUGACGUUAGGAAAGCGAGCGGCGGAUGGGUGAGUAACACGUGGGGAACCUGCCCCAUAGUCUGGGAUACCACUUGGAAACAGGUGCUAAUACCGGAUAAGAAAGCAGAUCGCAUGAUCAGCUUUUAAAAGGCGGCGUAAGCUGUCGCUAUGGGAUGGCCCCGCGGUGCAUUAGCUAGUUGGUAAGGUAAAGGCUUACCAAGGCGAUGAUGCAUAGCCGAGUUGAGAGACUGAUCGGCCACAUUGGGACUGAGACACGGCCCAAACUCCUACGGGAGGCAGCAGUAGGGAAUCUUCCACAAUGGACGCAAGUCUGAUGGAGCAACGCCGCGUGAGUGAAGAAGGUUUUCGGAUCGUAAAGCUCUGUUGUUGGUGAAGAAGGAUAGAGGUAGUAACUGGCCUUUAUUUGACGGUAAUCAACCAGAAAGUCACGGCUAACUACGUGCCAGCAGCCGCGGUAAUACGUAGGUGGCAAGCGUUGUCCGGAUUUAUUGGGCGUAAAGCGAGCGCAGGCGGAAGAAUAAGUCUGAUGUGAAAGCCCUCGGCUUAACCGAGGAACUGCAUCGGAAACUGUUUUUCUUGAGUGCAGAAGAGGAGAGUGGAACUCCAUGUGUAGCGGUGGAAUGCGUAGAUAUAUGGAAGAACACCAGUGGCGAAGGCGGCUCUCUGGUCUGCAACUGACGCUGAGGCUCGAAAGCAUGGGUAGCGAACAGGAUUAGAUACCCUGGUAGUCCAUGCCGUAAACGAUGAGUGCUAAGUGUUGGGAGGUUUCCGCCUCUCAGUGCUGCAGCUAACGCAUUAAGCACUCCGCCUGGGGAGUACGACCGCAAGGUUGAAACUCAAAGGAACUGACGGGGGCCCGCACAAGCGGUGGAGCAUGUGGUUUAAUUCGAAGCAACGCGAAGAACCUUACCAGGUCUUGACAUCUAGUGCCAUUUGUAGAGAUACAAAGUUCCCUUCGGGGACGCUAAGACAGGUGGUGCAUGGCUGUCGUCAGCUCGUGUCGUGAGAUGUUGGGUUAAGUCCCGCAACGAGCGCAACCCUUGUUAUUAGUUGCCAGCAUUAAGUUGGGCACUCUAAUGAGACUGCCGGUGACAAACCGGAGGAAGGUGGGGAUGACGUCAAGUCAUCAUGCCCCUUAUGACCUGGGCUACACACGUGCUACAAUGGGCAGUACAACGAGAAGCGAGCCUGCGAAGGCAAGCGAAUCUCUGAAAGCUGUUCUCAGUUCGGACUGCAGUCUGCAACUCGACUGCACGAAGCUGGAAUCGCUAGUAAUCGCGGAUCAGCACGCCGCGGUGAAUACGUUCCCGGGCCUUGUACACACCGCCCGUCACACCAUGGGAGUCUGCAAUGCCCAAAGCCGGUGGCCUAACCUUCGGGAAGGAGCCGUCUAAGGCAGGGCAGAUGACUGGGGUGAAGUCGUAACAAGGUAGCCGUAGGAGAACCUGCGGCUGGAUCACCUCCUU
rnacentral:rRNA from 1 species